UAAGGACCUUGGGGGUGUCCACUGGCUCUGCGCCCAGGUGACCAAGUGCUGGCACUGACUGGAAGGGACUUGUGACCCUGGUUAGGCUGGGUUUCCUGCUUCUCUAAUGCUGUCUCGGGCCCCGCUUGGUUGGAUUGGAACAGAAGUUGUGUUCCACUCACCUGUGGUCCUAAGAUUGCAUGGAGAGUCCUCUAGGGGACCUUGGGGGUGUCCGCCAACUCUGUGCCCAAGGUGACUCGGUCGUCUGCUGCUUUAUUGUUGGAAAAAAAUGUAUACAAGUGACCCGAAGAACAAAAUUAUUUUAACUAAUUUACUAGUUGAUGAAUCUGUGCAUAUACCCAAGGACAAGUAUGAAGUAUUUUCAUGCUUUCUAUUAAGUAAGCAUGAAUUAUUUCCUGUUUGAUCUUUAAAAAAAUAACAUUUAAACUUUCACAAUUAUUCUAAGAAAAAUGUGUCUGUAAGUAUAUAUACAUGUGCUUUUCUACUUUUGUGUUUGCGUAUACACAUAUAUACAUACACACACACACACAUACACACACACACACACACACACACACACACACACACACACACACACACACACAAUGACUCUGCCAAGAAGAUAUCAUCCUAGCUUGUCAAUGUAUAAAGGAAAAUGAUAUCUCAAGACAUUACAUAUAUGUUAAAAAUUGUCUGUGUUAUUCAAGGACUAAAAUGAAAGCUUGAACUGUCAACUAGAUUAUGUCAGCCAAAGCCAUCGAAAUACAAUUUUAGAUCCUUUUUCCCAUUUAGAGUUCUCCCUCUAGUGACCUGCAAACACAACUCAGGCUGACUUGCCAUUGCAAUUAUAAUCUACAUCUACUUUUUUAUAGAUACACUGUUGAAAAUGAUUACUCUAUUUAUCCUCCUCCUUUAAGGUUUUAUUUUUAAUAUGAUGAUACCAAGCUUUUGAACUCAAAUACAAUAACAUUUUGAAGGGAGAACUGAGUGUUCUCACUUUGUGAAUGAAGCUUAAUAAGGCAGUCAUUUUUCUGAAAGGCCUUUAUGGCUGUAAAAAUAAUUUUGCUUCCCAAGCCCCCUAGAACUUAGAAUAGAUACAACUGAUUUUAAAAAACAUAUUUUUCACAUAAUAUUGUGCUACUUUUAAAGAUUGGUAGUUGGUUUUUAAGAAUCUUUCACUUAGAUUUGUACUGUUCUUUAUCUCAUAUCUCAUGCCAAUGAAUCACCAGGUAGCUUUCAGACACUUCUAAAUGGGAUUCUUUUCUCUUUAUGUAAAUGUAAGUUUCAUGCUUAAAGAGAAAAGAAACUUUUUUUUUUGCUAAGCCAAGCCAAGAGUUCUAAUAUUAAUAUAAUCUUGACACAUAGUACACAGAGGGUAUAACUUAUUUUUUCUUACAGUAGUUUUGACCUUACUCCCCCCUAGCUACUCAAAUCUCUAAAACUUUUAAUUUCUAAACACUGCAAACCACAUAUAAACUAAAUUUUUGGCCCAUCUUUUUAACUUACAUCCAGGUUUUGAGGUUAUUUACUAUACUGGAGCCAAAGAAUGUCUAUUGCUCUCAUACCCUUCAAGGUCCUGCUGUAUAAUCUACAUCCUGUUAGUAAUGCUGACCUCAUCCUGAUUCCUACGUUAUUACAAUAACACUAAUUUCAAUCUUCAGUUCACGUGAGAAAUACUAUAGACAAUUCUUGAACAUGUAAGAUAUUUAAGGGAUAUAGUAGAGUUAGGGUGGGAUAGGAAAUUUCAGUGAGAUUCUACAGAGAAGACAGGCUGUACAAUGCAGUAUAGACUAACUCACAUCAGUGCCUGUCUGUCCUCACCAUCAAUCUCUUCUCUAUUCCACAGGCAAAACUAUCCUCUAUAAAGUAAGUGAAAUAACAUGACUUCUCUUCCACCCUCUGAGGCAGGUGUGCCCAACCUGCAGUCUUCAAGCAGCAUGUGUCCUGAGAUAGCUGUGAACAUGCCUCAGUACAUUUGUUGAUGACAUCAUGUUUCAAUGUCAAAUGGUGAGCUGUCCUUGUUUUAACAUGUACCAUCAUGUUCAGAAGUAAAAGACAAAGGUCUCAUAUUUUUUCUCUCUCACCUUCUCUUUCUAAAUUUAUAUCAGUUAUUACAACUCUUCUUAAUAUUCUUUCUGUACACAGGAAAUUCAUUUCCUGGGACUCCUCCCUGUGAUAUAUUCACAAAUGCACUGCAACAGACACAAAGCAAGUCUCUGAACAUACUUGAUUAUGAGGCUUCCAUUUAUCCCCUUAUUUAGUGUUGCUCAAAAUACUUGGGAGAAAAUUCUGUGGCAGUUACAUACUCUUAUACAGCAGCAUCUACUUGCCUAGAACCCUGAAAAAUGCAGUUAAGCUAUGAGAUCACCCCCACCCACUAAAGUGAAUUGUUUCUUCAGUUUAGUAACCUAUACAUAGCUCAAACUUCCUACUGAACACACUCUUGUGAGCCAUAAUAAUUUGGUCAAUUAAAUACAGAUUUAUAUCUCAUUCCAUAUUCCCUAUCUUAAUGAAGAUUAAUGUAUGUUAAACAUACAUUAGCUAUAUAUAUAUUAGGAACAUUUUACUCUUUAUUUUUUUCAACACAGAUAGAUGUAAUGUUUCUUUUUUAUUUAACCAUAUGCCACUAUUCUCUAUUACAAUCCAUCUUCACCUCUUCAACUCACAUUGACAAGCAUCAGUUUUUGCCAACCUGAAUUUCUGUAAAAGCCUAUUACCUACUUUCCCUCUGCAUCUAUGCGACUAUCUUGGGUCUGUUCUGUAGGUGACUAGCUCUCCAGUGGCUUUCCUUUGUCUCUGGAGGAAUAUAAACUUCAAUGAUUGUGCCCAUGAAACACUGUUUGACUCGGUCCCUUAGGAAGCUUAACUGUUCUAAGCAAAUAUUAAAACUGUAGACAUGCAAAGAUCUUCAAAUCAUCAAAUUCAUCUUUGUUUUGCAUGCACUUGCCUUUAAACUAUAUCUUGUCCAACUAGAAUGUUCCUUUCCUUUUCUUGAACUCAUUUGUAGGCAGCCUUCUGUAUUCUAAUAUCUUUGUUAAUUAGUAUCAUAAUUUGACUAUAUAUUUGUAUAUAGAUGUGUUUCUGUGUGUGUAUUUCUGUGUGUGUGCAUGCAUAUGUGACUUUAUAUUCAUACUUCCACAUGUUUUGCCUUGGAGAAAGUAUUGGUUUGAUUAAAUUUUGAUUUUUAGAACACUGUAAACAAACUGUGCUAUAAUUUUCAUAUAUAUUCAGAAAUGCUAUAUCUGCUUUAUUUGAGAGUAAAAUGUAAGUCUGGAAUGAUCACUAUUUUAUUCUGAACUCUACUCUCAAUAACAUCUAUAUGGUUGGGUGAUAAGUUUUUCUUGAGUAUUUGUAGAAAAGCAUGAAUUCACUAAGAGUAUAAUAGUUAUAUGAAUAUUCAUACAUAAGAAUCAGAUUGAAGGUAAGUAAUAUUUGUAUAUUUAACUUGGCUUUGAAACUUGGAAGAUAAAAUAUUUGUUCCUGAUAUGUUCAAUUUACAUGGGUAAUAAAAAGUAUAUUCACC
rnacentral:lncRNA from 1 species